UCCUCAGUAGCUCAGUUGGUUAGAGCAACGGACUGUUAAUCCGUGGGUCGUAAGUUCGAGUCUUACCUGGGGAG
rnacentral:tRNA from 1 species